AUCCGUACGCACCGACGCCGUAUGGUGGAUGACUUGGCUUGGGUGGCUAUGAAGGACGUGGCAAGCUGCGAUAAGCCCAGGGGAGGAGCAUGCAGCCAUUGAUCCUGGGAUUUCCGAAUGGGUUAGAACCUGCCGGGAUUGCCGCAAGGCGUCCCGGUGAUCCGCAAGGAUCGCGAACGCUGGGGAAGGAAACAUCUGAGUACCAGCAGGAAGAGAAAUCAAUUGAGAUCCCGCUAUUAGCGGCGAGCGAAACCGGGAGAGCCCAAACCGAAUCCCUUAUCGAAAGGUGAGGGAGAUGUGGGGUUAGCCUUCAGCGAUUGCGACCCUGGACCCGUCUGGCCGAACUUGCCUGGAAAGGCAGAGAAAAGAGUGUGAUACUCACGUAGGCUGUGCGGGGACGAGGUCGUGUUGAAGGCAGAGUACCUGGCCUUGACAGUGGCUAGGGAAGAUUGGGGGAAAGCAGCCUCCAAGGCUAAACACUACCCAAGACCGAUAGAAAACUAGUACCGCGAGGGAAAGUUGCAAAGAGCCCCGAAAGGGGUGUGAAAAGAGCCUGAAACCAUACGGUUACAGACGUGCGCGGCCCGAAAGGAGCACGAUCCCUGGUCGAGUUCCAGCAAUGGAGCUCAUCUGGGGGUAAGUGCUGCAGGGUCGCGCAUUCCGUCUAGAAAUUGGCGGAGCGUAAGCUCCGCUGACUAGAAACACGGGCCAGGGAGUUAACUGUCAUGGCGAGCCUAAGGGUUCAAAGCCCGGAGGCGAAGCGAAAGCGAUACUCCGCAAGGCCGCAAGGCCCCAGGGAGGAGGUGUGAAAGUGCCUUACAGUCAUGGCGGUUUAGACUAGAAACCGAGUGAUCGUGCCCUCGACAAGUUGAAGGCGGGCGAAAGCCUGCUGGAAGACUACAAGGGUCUUAACGUGCAACUUAGUCCCCUGAUCGGGGGCAAGGGGCCAAAAGCCUAUCUAACUCGGUGAUUGCUAGUUCCCACCGAAGCGGAUCCCAGUCCUGUCUCCGUGGAUGUAGCCGACGCUGUAGAGCACUGAUGAAGAAACAAGGAUUCGAAAGGAUCCACUUCUUUUUCAAACUCCGAAUGUGUCGGCGCAAGAGAAACGGGGAAGCGGGUUUAUGUGGGGUAAGCCUCAUAACCGAGAGGGGAUUAACCCAGACUGGAGUUAAGGUCCCCAAAUUCAGGCUAAGUGUCAAGCCAAAGGGCGUCUAUGAGCUCAGACAGCAGGGAGGUAGGCUUAGAAGCAGCCAUCCUUCAAAGAUAGCGUAACAGCUCACCUGCCGAGCUUGUGGGCCCCGAAAAUGGACGGGACUAAAGCCUGAUACCGAUACUCCGGACAACUACUCUGAGAGUAGUUUGUGGUAGGUGGGCGUAGAGAUUGGGCGGAAGCCGGGCCGUGAGGUCCGGUGGACCGAUUUCUAGUGCAGAUCCUGGUAGUAGUAGCAGCUAAGUCGGGUGAGAAUGAUGCAUCGGCGCGUAAAUAGGGUAUGGGCCUCAACGUGUGAGGCACCAAUUCUGUGCUGGACCUGAGUGGUUUGAUACCUGCGGAAAUCACAGGGACUCGAAUCACAAAGGAAGUUUCAACCAAACAGAUUCAACUCACAGGACGGUACAGCAACGGCAGAAGGUUCUGUAUCGUCCUGAACAGAUUCAUCAAUACACAACUCUUCAAUUUCGGAUGCGGUCUCUUCGGAGGAGAGGGAACCAAGGGAGGGAAAGGGACCCCAUUCGAGUUCGCAAACAGCAACCCCAAGAUCGUAGCGGUCAUGCUGAGACUGCUCGACCGAUUGGGAAUUGACAAAUCGACAAUAUCUCCAAGAUUGCAGAUACGAAUCCCCCUCGGGGAUUCGACCGGCAGGGUCCAGCCUCUGAUGGAAUUCUGGUCCAAGAGCAUGGGCAUACCCCUGGCCAAGUUCAGAAAGCCGUCCGUCCGCCUCAAGAAGGGGGCCGGGCGGAGCAAUUAUGGUACAAUUUCGAUCCGGAUCAACUCCGGAAUAGUCGGAAAGCUAUUCACGUUCUGGACUGACCAGCUUACGCGUCGCGAUACAUUCUCAAGUCCUGACCGCCGCAAGGGCACGGGUUCCCUGGCAAUGCGUCGUCAGCCAGGGGUUAGCCGAUCCUAAGUGUAUCCUCAACAGGGAGACACGAACCAGGGAAACUGGUCAAAAUUCCAGUGCCUUUGACGGACCGAUGAGCCGCAAGGCUCGACAUCAGCUCCGGUGCUUUGAGAUACGGUGUGCAGAGUUUAUCGCUCUGUCUAAUCUAACUAGUCGUGGGGAGUGUCGUAAUGACGAGAACCAUGAUGAGUGGAGAAUGGCCGCCCGUUGGGGUGGUUCACCAGACUCUCGGAGACCGUGAAAACGGAGCUGGAAAGGUUCGUCGAAGAUCGUACCCAGAUCCGACACCGGUGCCCCUAGGUAAGUAGCCUAAGGCGUGUCGGGGAACUGUAGGUAAGGGAACUCGGCAAAUUAGCCACGUACGUUAGCUAGAAGUGGUGCCUGCGUUCGUAAUGUGAAAUUGCGUUCGCAGGUUGCAAUAACAAGGGGGUCUCGACUGUUUACUAAAAACACAGUAAGCCGCAAGUCCGAAAGGAUGAGUACGGCUUAUGAAUCCUGGCCAGUGCAGGUACCUAAAACUUGGGUUCAACCGAGCUAAGGGCCUGUAAACGCCGGGAGUAACUCUGACUCUCUUAAGGUAGCCAAAUGCCUUGUCGGGUAAGUUCCGACGUGCAUGAAUGGACCAACGAGGGCCCCGCUGUCCCUAUCUACGACCCGGCGAACCUACGUAAGGUGGACGAACAGUCCAUCAACUUCCAUCGGGGAGAGAAGUCCCUGUGGAGCUUUACUGCAGCUUGUUGCUGCGAUGCGGUUUUGGUUGCAGAGUGUAACUGGGAGCCUUCGAAGCGCUGCCUUCGGGUGGCGUGGAGGCAACAAUGUAACACCAGUCUUUCAGGACUGCGUCGCUAACUCCUAAGGGAGGACAACGGCAGGUGGGCAGUUCGGCUGGGGCGGCACCCCCUUGAAAAGAUAUCGAGGGGGCCCUAAGGUUGGCUCAUCUGGGUCAGAACUCCAGAGUUGACGGCAAGGCGAAAAGCCAGCCUGACAGGAAGCUUAAACGCAGAGCUUUCUGCAACGAAAGUUUGGCCUAGCGAUCAUUCAAGUCCUCACUGUUGGGGGCUGGAUGUGACAGAAAAGUUACCCCAGGGGUAACAGGCUCGUCGCGGGCGAGAGCUCCAAUCGACCCCGCGGUUUGGUACCUCGGCCCAUUAGUGGGCCUUGGGGCAAGAUCGUGGUAACGCGAUUGAAGUUUUCCGAAAGAAAAAACGAGUAUCGGCUUAUAUCGGCGAAACCCGACCUCCUUUAUCCAGGAGUCCGAGCAAUCGGAUCUUUGGGAAGAGCGGGAGAGGGCAACGCCGAGGGAAGUCCAACGGGAUUUCAGCACCCGGUCAGAUGGAAGGAUUAACCGAAGACCAGCAGCAACAUUCGUCGAGCUUGCAGUUCGGGCACUCCCUCGGGGAGCUGCUCGCCUUGCAUUCGCUCGGCGCACACCCACAAUCAGCGCAGGUGAUGAUCAGCCGUUGCAUCGGCACGGCAGACGUCCCCUGACUCUUAUAUCAUACUGGGGCUACGCACCGCUCAUGUGGUUCGUCGUCCUGGUCAAGUUCAGGCGAAAGCCGACCAAAGAAGACACAGAGAAGAUGAACUCAUACUGGAGCGAGGCAGAAAAGUGGGGUGUCAAACGGCACCACGCCUUCUGGACGCUCGGCCGGUAUGACGCCGUGUUCAUCACAGAAGCGCCCGACGCCGAGACGAUGAUGAAGUUCAACAUGGGAACUCCAACAGACCUCGGAAAGUCGGAGACCCUGGUCGCCUUCGGGCGAGACCAGGUCGUCAGCUGGCUAAAGUAGACGCGAAAGCGUCCACCGGUUUUCUUUUCCUUUGACAGGAAAGAUUCAGUCAGGCAUACGGCGGAGGCAGCGCAAACGACCCCGUGGGGGCCUUUGAUCUCCCCUCGGUCGCGCGUUGCCAACAUCCCGGAUGCCUCUGAUCAUCAGCGAGGUACGACCAUUUCCGUUGUGACCCCGUAACGACUGAGCGCGCAGAAGUAGUGCGUCAUGAGAUGCCGAAGGGCAAGCUCGAGAAUCCCGCAAGGGACGCGUCACGUUCCGACGUGUCGCGACAUUCGCUCGGGUGCGCCAUACAAAACUUCGGCCAUCAUACGCCGACCCCUCCAAGUGCUGGAGGGUGAAGACAUAGUCUAACUCCGGGCGUAAGCCUGGGUAAAGUUGCGAUGUCGGCUCUUCCCAUCCUGGUCCUGCAGCAGGGGCCAAGGGUGGGGCUGCUCGCCCAUCAAAGGGGAACGUGAGCUGGGUUUAGACCGUCGUGAGACAGGUCGGCCUCUACCUGAUGGAAGGGGAUGAUCACUGAGGGGAAGCUCUGCCCAGUACGAGAGGAACAGCGGAGCGUUGCCUCUGGCGUACCGGUUGUCCGAGAGGGCAUCGCCGGGCAGCUAAGCAAUUGUGGAUAACCGCUGAAAGCAUCUAAGCGGGAAGCCACUCCCGACAAGAGUGAUCAAUCCGUCCUAACCUCUGCCGCAAGGUGGAGGAGCGGAUGGAGGAGGGCGGCCAUAGAAGAUGGCAUUGAAAUGGCGGGGGUGUACGCUGGAAGUCCGCAAGGGCGACCAGUUCAGCCCGUCCGCUAAUUAUAGCCCAACGCAGGAUG
rnacentral:rRNA from 1 species